UUAUUGACACUCACAUGCCACAAAUGUACAAUUUUUCAUGGGUAAUGCUACUUGAACCAACUCCAACAUUUCGUUUAAAAUAUGAAAAUGUUUGAAUAAAAUUAUAAAUUCAAAAAUAAGUUUCAACUUAAAAAUAAAAUCCAUUUUAAAAAUAUGUAAACUUUGAAUAAUUUUUUUUUUAAUUCGAGCCCGACUCAAAUAUUAUCCCUUUCCCCCUACCAGAUCCCAUUGCCACUCCCAGCCCCUAAUUCCCCUUCCCAAUCCCUAAUCACUUAUUCACAGAGACGACACCCCCUCACCAAUCUAAGAUUUGUUUCGGUUUCUUCUCAAGAUUCAUACGAAGACGGAGAAGUCGAAGAAGAAAAGAACAUUCUCAUUCUGUUUUCUGGUCAAGCUUCAAUCAGUGUUUAAUGGGAGAAGAUGGAACACCCACAUUGCUGCAAGAAUGGAAUCUAGGCCUUAAUUCUUCGAGACUGUUAUGGCAUUUGUUGGAUUAAUAUUGAUGGACUGCCGAUUUAAAUAGAAACUGCAACACCACAUUUACUGGAUCAUUAUUUUACGGUUUCAGCUUUGCUGCCGUUAAUAUUCAUAGAAAUCAUUCAGACAA